CUUGACAUAGAUACAGAUAACAUACACGCCCAGAUGAUGUCACAAUCAGCUGUAUCUAAACAGAGCAGAGCUCAGGUGACAUCACAGAACAGGCAGAGGCAGUUCAGGGGUAUUCUGGUUGCCUUACCCAGCUCUGAAGUCUGUCAGCCUCUUCAGAUGUCACUUGCCAUGUGGUAAGGAAGUGUAGUCAGCAGCUGGUGCAGUGGGAAGAAGAGAAAGGAAGUUCCCCAAGACAAAAACAUCUCGGCAGACUUCAUCAUGAAUUCAUGGCAUCACACAGUCCCCUGAUGCUAUAACAUCAUGGAUUUCUUUUGUCCAGUGAGAGGCCCAAAAGCUGCAGCAUAGACAAUAUCAUAGUGUAGAAGGUUCACUAGACCGUGAUCAUGGGCUACAUUCUCCGUACCAGCUUCAUAGCUCCAGUGAGAAAAUAAAUUCCUGCAUCCAGGAGAUGUGGAGUAAGAGAUACAGCUGCCCUUGACCAUAUUUCUUACUUCCGAGAAGAUCGUAGCAGUAAUUCAGAAUCUCAUCCAGGAUACCUCAUCACAGGCUGGAGUGCAGUGUCAUGAGCUUGGCUCACUACAGCCUCCAUCUUCUGUGCUUAAGGAUCCUUCCCUCUCAACCUCCAAGGUAGCUGAGACUACAGGCAACAUUCGAAACCCAGGUGCCACUCCUUCAGGAAGGUACCAUCAAGCUCCAAGGACUCAUCCUCUUUCUCCUUCCCCACUACCUAGUCAUUAGAGCGUCAGCAUCCACUUCCUGAAAGGAAGAUGCCUGUUUUUCACAUAUCCCAGAAAGCCUCAUUUUAGGACAGCAUUUAGCAGAGUGUAUUCAGGAUCCCACUAACCUUUUCGGAAGACAUGACUUCCAGAUGAUAUAAGGCUCCAUCAGGAACUGUGCAGGACUGUGCACUCUGUUGAUACUCACAUGGUGGAAUUAUAUUGCCCUUGGCCAACCCUAAAGCCAUCAAGAUAGCAGGUUUGGAAUAAUUCACUGUCGAAGUCUUCUUGAGCUGAGCAGUCAUGUGAGCUUGGAAGAUGAUCCCUCUCCAGCUGAUCCUUCAGCUCAGGCCAUCAUCUACAUCUGGAUUCCUGACCCGGAGAAACUAUGAGUAAUGUGUGCUGCUUUUGAGCCACUAAGCUACAUGCUGCCAUGUAAGAUGUGCCUUACUUCCCCUUUGCCUUCAAUCAUGACUGUAAGUUUCCUGAGGCCUCCCCAGCCAUGCAGAAAUGUAAGUCAAUUACACCUUUUCUC
rnacentral:lncRNA from 1 species